GACGAACGCUGGCGGCGUGCCUAAUACAUGCAAGUAGAACGCUGAAGGAGGAGCUUGCUUCUCUGGAUGAGUUGCGAACGGGUGAGUAACGCGUAGGUAACCUGCCUGGUAGUGGGGGAUAACUAUUGGAAACGAUAGCUAAUACCGCAUAAUAGCAGUUGUUGCAUGAUAACUGUUUGAAAGGUGCAAUUGCACCGCUACCAGAUGGACUUGCGUUGUAUUAGCUAGUUGGUGGGGUAACGGCUCACCAAGGCGACGAUACAUAGCCGACCUGAGAGGGGGAUCGGCCACACUGGGACUGAGACACGGCCCAGACUCCUACGGGAGGCAGCAGUAGGGAAUCUUCGGCAAUGGACGGAAGUCUGACCGAGCAACGCCGCGUGAGUGAAGAAGGUUUUCGGAUCGUAAAGCUCUGUUGUAAGAGAAGAACGAGUGUGAGAGUGGAAAGUUCACACUGUGACGGUAUCUUACCAGAAAGGGACGGCUAACUACGUG
rnacentral:rRNA from 1 species